GUCCCUGUAGCUUAAACCAAAGCAUGACACUGAAGAUGUCAAGACGGAUGCCACACGCACCCAGGGACA
rnacentral:tRNA from 1 species